CCUACGGGUGGCUGCAGUGGGGAAUAUUGGACAAUGGGCGAAAGCCUGAUCCAGCCAUGCCGCGUGUGUGAAGAAGGCCUUCGGGUUGUAAAGCACUUUCAGUGGGGAAGAAAGCCUUGGGGCUAAUACCCUCGAGGAAGGACAUCACCCACAGAAGAAGCACCGGCUAACUCCGUGCCAGCAGCCGCGGUAAUACGGAGGGUGCGAGCGUUAAUCGGAAUUACUGGGCGUAAAGCGCGCGUAGGCGGUCUGAUAAGCCGGUUGUGAAAGCCCCGGGCUCAACCUGGGAACGGCAUCCGGAACUGUCAGGCUAGAGUGCAGGAGAGGAAGGUAGAAUUCCCGGUGUAGCGGUGAAAUGCGUAGAGAUCGGGAGGAAUACCAGUGGCGAAGGCGGCCUUCUGGGCUGACACUGACGCUGAGGUGCGAAAGCGUGGGUAGCAAACAGGAUUAGAUACCCCUGUAGUC
rnacentral:rRNA from 1 species